rnacentral:lncRNA from 1 species
AAUUCGACAUCACCAUCUUUUUCAAAAUAUAGAUUCUUAAAAAACCCAAAACAAUUCAUUUUCAUUAUCUUUCUUCACAUUCAUAGAUCAAUGGGUGGUUAUGAAAGUGUAGAUCUGAGAAUAUAUCAAAAUAAAAUUAGCUUCAAUCGGUUUGUAGAUCCAUCACUUUUUUUCUGCUACUCAUCAAUUUGUAGAUCUACGUAGAUCUGUUGCAACUAUUUUCCUCAAAGUGAUGGAAUUCCCUUCAACCAAAUCGAGAAAAAAGAAGUGUUUUUGAAGGAGAGUGAUGGAAUUCAUCUUCAUAUUCUUCCCCAAAAAAACCAAUCUCCCAUCGGAGAAGAGAAAGAAAUAAAGAGAGAGAAGAGAGAGAAAACGUGAAAAGAAAAAGAAGAGAGAGAGUGGGAUGAAAAAAUGAAUGAAAAAGGGAAGAAAAGGGUAAUUUAGUGAUGAGAGAGUAUGAUAAAAAUGUGUUCCUCAUUUGAUCUAACGGUCAAAAAAACCUUUCCCAUGGUGGGAUAAAACUAACCUUUCCCAAAUUAAAUGGCAC